rnacentral:lncRNA from 1 species
UGGUGGCUCGUGCUAUUGCUAAUGUCAGAAUUGCUAUCUUCUAUUAGGCUUCUAAGCUGGUUCAUCACCUGUGCAAAUUCUGCAUUAAAGUCAUUCUGCUUAAAUAUUCAUGUGGCAUCUGAAUCCCAGUUAGGUCCUGACUAAUAUAGUGCUUGAGUAAUUGGCCAAAGUUCACAUAGCAAUUAGUUAAGCUUGGAUUUCAAGCCUUAUGUUUGACUGUGGAAACUCUGCUAUAUACAGUAGUCUGAUACCACCUUCUAAUCUUGUUCUGGUUUUCAGAUUCUCUAUACAGGCUGACCCCUAUGGCCUACUAAGAAUGAAUAAUUAAAACUCUAGGAAUCCCAGGUAAGUCUUUCAGGCAAAUUUUAUGUUUUUGGCCACAAAUACAGACUUAAUGUGGCAUAUAAUAAAACAUAAUAAAAUACGUGACAUAUUAUAGGCUCAUGCUCCUCUGUUAUAUUUGUGGUUGAAUUAGAACUAUGUCAUAAGGUUACCAGGGAAUAAGAAAACAUUACAGACACGUGCACUUGGUCAUCAUUACCCUGUUUUUCUGAUCCCUGUAACUCGCCCUUCUUAGCUCUCUUUGGUCAAAAUCGUGCCCAGUUUUCUUGUCUAUCUUGUUGACAAGUGCAGACUCUAUCACUGUCCCCAGUUGUGCCAAAUCCAUGAUAGUUAUCACCUACUUUGUUUUACCCCAUCAGGUGCUCUGGUGGUGAAUAUAAAGACAGUCCCCUGAGAAACCAGGGUUUUAAAUUCCCGCUGUGAGACGUCUAUGUGUAUCCCUGUGACAAACUUGAUUUUGCCCUCUUCUUGUUUUGUUUCUACAGGGUUUGUUGGAGUUCAGGGUUGUCGCUGAGUGGUGGAAAUAUUGUUCUCAACCAAAAAAAAAAAAAAAAAUGUGGGGAUUACAUGCCAGUACCAUCCACCCCUGCAUUAGAAGUUUUCAUCGAAGAGCUUCAUUUCACAAGGUACUAUUUUUCCUUUCAUAGCAUUUGCCACAAAUGCAUUUUAUUUAUUCAUUUAUUCCUUGUUGUUUCUCUCCCUUCACACUGUUAACUCCAUGAGAACAGAGUUUAUUUUCUCCACCUCUGUAUAUAGGAGAGUGUCUGGCAUAGUAGGGAAGCCAGAGAUAUUUGUUGCUUGAACAAAAGUAAAUGCAUAAGUUGAGUGAACAGAUGGCUGCAGGUCAAACAUUAUACAAUAUCGAACACCUUCUCUCUGUGCACUUCUGAGCCCUCCCCACCUUUCCUCAGACAGGAAUGAGAAGCACAGGCAGUCCCAAGCUAGUCCUCGGCCAUAGUUUGAUCUCUGCCAUAUACUAAGCAAUGUUGCUUCUGACUUUUCUUCGGGAGCCCUUAUGGUCCAUGAAUUCUAGAUGAAAUGAAAUCUGGAAAAAGAAGAUUGUUUCUACAUGUUAGAGGUAGAAUAAAUGAAAAAGGAAAAAUAUUGUGUAUUAGGAAUAAACAAUGAUAGCAACAAUGGUAGUAUCAUAUUCGCCCUGGGUUUAAGUCAAUUCUUUAUCACUUAUAAGCUGUGUUACCUAAGACAAGACAUUUAGCUGCUCCAACUUCCAUUCUUUUUCUCACAUGUAAAAUGUCAGUGAUAAUUGUACCUUCUUUUACUAAUUCAUGCAUUUCUGAGGGAUUUAAAGGUGGGUUUUCCAGGCAUGUUCUCACUCCCAAGUGACCCCUUUUUUCCCUCACCUUUUUCUCUUCUCUCACAAAAGCUCCAGGUUUUUAAUACAUUGCCCUCACCCAACUUACAAAAAAUAAUUCUCUCAAGUGUCACUUUCCCUCAAUGAUGGGAGUGACUUGUGAUUGAUUUAUGUCCUUCCCAGGGUAAUUUAUAUUUUUAAAUUGGACAAAGGGAUAUAAUUUCAAUGGUAGAACUUUAGGGUGGGUUAUAAACUCAUUGGGAAGUUGUCUAUGUCCUGGGAGCAUACAUAGAGUCUCUCAAAUUAAAUCACAAAUAACUGCCUUUCUCAUAAGUAUCUAAGGCCAAGUCUGCUUGGUUGAUCAACCUCUGAACAUGUGGUACAUAGCACUCACCAAAGGUGCUAUUGAUAUGUUCUGAUGUACACUGCGAAUGUUUCCUAAAUAGAUAAAGUGCAAGGCAUGUGAUAGGAGUUCUCAAUAAAUAAUAACCCAUGUCCUUCAUGGGGCACAGUGGUCCCACUGUCCGGUCUGGCUGCUUGAAAAGUAAACUUGAAGAAAGUUAUAACUCGUAAGGAAAGUAAAAUUAUCUAAGGUUAGACUAUGGGCCUCAGAUGACAGCUGAGGGCAGAGCUUUUCCAAGAAAGGAUUAUUCAUGGAAUAAUAAUUCAAUUU